UCGGGUCGAGACCCUUCUUCAGUCCGAGGGUCACCAAUGAGGUGGAUAGUAGUUCAGGACUGCUCUCUGGUUGUGGUAGGAUGGUUCAUUGCCUGAUAACAGCUGGGAAGAAACUGUCCCUGAAUCUGGAGGUGU